rnacentral:rRNA from 1 species
UACGUAGGUGGCAAGCGUUGUCCGGAUUUACUGGGCGUAAAGGGCGUGCAGGCGGUCUGUUAAGUUCAGGGUGAAAGCUCCCGGCUCAACUGGGAGAGGUCCUUGGAUACUGGCAGACUUGAGGGAGGUAGAGGAGAGUGGAAUUCCCGGUGUAGUGGUGAUAUGCGUAGAUAUCAGGAGGAACACCAGUGGCGAAGGCGGCUCUCUGGGCCUUUCCUGACGCUGAGACGCGAAAGCGUGGGGAGCGAACCGG